rnacentral:rRNA from 1 species
CGAAUCGAUGGGAGCUUGCUCCCUGAGAUUAGCGGCGGACGGGUGAGUAACACGUGGGCAACCUGCCUAUAAGACUGGGAUAACUUCGGGAAACCGGAGCUAAUACCGGAUACGUUCUUUUCUCGCAUGAGAGAAGAUGGAAAGACGGUUUACGCUGUCACUUAUAGAUGGGCCCGCGGCGCAUUAGCUAGUUGGUGAGGUAAUGGCUCACCAAGGCGACGAUGCGUAGCCGACCUGAGAGGGUGAUCGGCCACACUGGGACUGAGACACGGCCCAGACUCCUACGGGAGGCAGCAGUAGGGAAUCUUCCGCAAUGGACGAAAGUCUGACGGAGCAACGCCGCGUGAACGAAGAAGGCCUUCGGGUCGUAAAGUUCUGUUGUUAGGGAAGAACAAGUACCAGAGUAACUGCUGGUACCUUGACGGUACCUAACCAGAAAGCCACGGCUAACUACGUGCCAGCAGCCGCGGUAAUACGUAGGUGGCAAGCGUUGUCCGGAAUUAUUGGGCGUAAAGCGCGCGCAGGUGGUUCCUUAAGUCUGAUGUGAAAGCCCACGGCUCAACCGUGGAGG